rnacentral:misc_RNA from 1 species
AGACUGCGGUUUUUAUACUCUUUUGAGAAAUAUAAAGGAGGCACAGAAGGCAUGUGGUAUGCAAAAAAGUAUAAAAUAGAAUUGAACUGUGCAAGAGGAUCCAGGAAUUAAAAAGGGGUUGUUACAUUCAUUGACUUGAAUAAUAUUGCAUAUGGACACAUCCUAUGCAAAUCAGUAUGCGGAACUGACGCUGUUUGGUUCACGUUUUAACAACUCCACUCGUCGUAUGCUAAUUCACCAAUGCCCCUUUUGCCAUGGAACUUUGGAAUGCUUAAUCCUAGGACGACAAUGGACGCAACUGGUUCAUAUCUUUUGCGCUGAAGUCGCUUUAUUGGAAAAUUUGAAUCUCCAUUCGUGGAAUUUGGUUAAAACGUUAACAAACAUUAAUUUUUACAAUAAAAGAACACAAACAAAUAAACUGUGAAAUAAGAUUAAUAAAUAAUAAAUAAUA